AUAACACGAGAGUCGAAAAGACACUCGGAGCGCGGUCUAGUCUCGGGAGGACGUGGUUUUCGGCGCAAGUUCGUCUUGCUGCCCCGGACAAUGUAUCCGGCGGAAAAUCCAGACCUGCAAUUUUAAAUGCAAGACGAAAGUCUUGCAUUUUUUU
rnacentral:sRNA from 1 species